rnacentral:rRNA from 1 species
AGUAGUUUGAUCCUGGCUCAGGACGAACGCUGGCGGCGUGCUUAACACAUGCAAGUCGAGCGGAAAGGCCCUUUCGGGGGUACUCGAGCGGCGAACGGGUGAGUAACACGUGAGUAAUCUGCCCUUGGCUUUGGGAUAACUACCGGAAACGGUGGCUAAUACCGGAUACGACCACUCCUUGCAUGAGGUGGUGGUGGAAAGUUUUUCGGCCAGGGAUGUGCUCGCGGCCUAUCAGCUUGUUGGUGGGGUAAUGGCCUACCAAGGCUUCGACGGGUAGCCGGCCUGAGAGGGUGACCGGCCACACUGGGACUGAGACACGGCCCAGACUCCUACGGGAGGCAGCAGUGGGGAAUAUUGGACAAUGGGCGGAAGCCUGAUCCAGCAACGCCGCGUGAGGGAUGACGGCCUUCGGGUUGUAAACCUCUUUCAGUACCGGCGAAGCGCCGAUGAUGGUGGUGACGGUAGGUACAGAAGAAGCACCGGCCAACUACGUG